UUUUGGCCCAAAACUCCUAACCCUAGCUAACUGACCACACCAAACACACACGCCUAUCUUCUCUGCUCCUAUUGCUCCUCCACGAGCCGCACAUCGCCGCCCGCCCGUCUGCCCCCGCUGCUCGCCCAUCCCCCACCAGACGACCGGCCCUCGCCGCUCGCCGGCCCUCGGACCUCAGCACCCACCGUGUGCCCCCGGAUGUUCGCAACCACCGGCUGCGCGGCCGCUCAACGGACGUCGCCCCCCGCCGCUCGCCACAGGCACAUCGGCGUCUAGGCACCCAUGUUGUGUGCCUACUGCCGCCGCACCGCCACACAGGCGCCUAGGCUAUACAACCUCCACUCCGAAGGUAAACUAUCCACCUGAGCUCCUGAGUUGGUCCUGUUUUUUGGUUCGAUGUGUGGAUGUGCAAGAUCUAUUUCUGGGUUCCUGAGUUCGUCCUCUUUUGUUGGGGAAAAAUUGUUUUCAGCAUCAAACUUGCUAGCACAGGAUCUAUUUUCUACAGUCAUAUUGCUACUGUAAUCAGCUAUAUGCUGCUGUUAUAUCACAGAUGUGUUGUUGUAUAAUUGUUCUCACAUUUUAUUUCAGGGAAAGAAAAAUAAAUUGUCAAGAUCUGGUAAAUCUACAAACAGCACGCCUACUAAGGGUAGUGCUUAUUUUGCUGAUGUGGUGGAUGAUGAUACAGAUAGUAGGUAUUGUGAUUCAUGAAUACACCACGAAAGCAAUAUUAACCCUAGAAUGGCGCUCAAAUCCUAAAUGUAUGUGCGAAGGUUUCAUUAUAUGUUUUGGUUAGCACUUUAACAAUGCUAAUACACAGGCAGUUGCUCUCUCCCUGGCGGAAUAUUCAGAAAAGCCUUUGACUGCAUUUGGUGCAGAAACAUUGAAGCACAGUAACAGGAGCUUGAUGCUUGACUUGUAUCAAUUUCACUUGUGUCAUAUAUGUUUUACACACUCAUAUCCCCCCAUCAAAUGUGUUUAUUAUUGAUCAUUAUUCCAGAGUGCAAUGAAUAGUAUUUUCAUGAAAUCUAAUGAACUCGAAGUAACUUGGUGUGAAUCCACUUUAUUUUAAAUCUGCUUCAUUGGUUUGGAUGUUUUUUUAGACUAGUUUAACCCUCUUAUACUUGUUUGCAGCUCAUAGAACUAGCCCUCAGCCCCCUUCCAAUCCCCAUCUGCUUAUGGAUCAGCUGUAGUUUAGAUGCAAGAUAGAAGCUUAAACUUGUUUCUAGAGAAGGACCAAGACCAUGCUGCUAUCGUAAUAUGUUGGUGCACACAGACUUGAAAGAAAAAAAAUAUAAUCUUUCACUUCAUUGGUUGCUCACAAUUUCAUAUCUGCGGAAGCUUGUAGGAACAUUUGUAAACUGAAAGUACUAUAUUAGAGACUAGAAGAAUUUAUUCUAAACUAUGGUAUAUUUAUUUCUCUUUCAGUCUAAGGGUGGUUUGUAUUGCUGUGAAUAUCUGUUAUUUUAAGUCAAAAACCUACUGUUUAGACCCUGAACCAAUUCUGUGCAUUGCUGUUUUUUUUUUAAAAAAUAAUUCAUGACUACGUUUCUAGGUGUGAGCUGCUUUCAAGGUUAAGGCAUCAGUCAUCAUUUGCUUCACCUAUUCUGAGGGGGCUGCAAUGUAUAUAUAUACAAAUGAAUAUUGGUUAUACAGGGCUGCCAGGUGAUCUUAUUUAGUUAUUUACAAAUGUUCUUGUUUCCACUUCUACAGCUAGGGGAAUCGAGAGAGAAGCAGAUCCAAUUUCUGUGCCAUAGCUACAAACUCAGAAAAGGUGUUGUUUAUAUUUUUUUUACAAGAAAUUCAGAUGUCCUAUGAACCUGCAGUUACCUGUCCGUCCUAUGAAGCGGCAUCUUUUUUUUCCUAUGAACCUGUAGGUCCUAUGAUAAUGUUCGCUAACGGUGAAGUUAUCUUGGAUGUUGUAAUCCGACGUGAAGCAUUAGCGCCAUGCCCUUAUGAUGAAAUCAAGACUAUAUGGGAUGCUUUAAAGAUGCCGCUUGCUUGGCCAUUUAAUCGGGUAAUGUUCAAUUGAUUCUAUUCUCUUUUUGUUAUAUCGAGUAGCAAUAUCUACAGUUUCUAACUAUGAUACUUGUGACGGCUGAAGGCCUGCUGUCAGCAACCAAGAUCUCAGAGGGUUGUUGGUUCUUCUCAGAGAUCUUCUCAAGGUGCUGCGGGAUCAUCUCAGAGACGCUAGACGGUGCUAGCUUAUUGGCAGGGUGCUAGGAGUAAACUUGAAUGCUUUUAGACUACAUGCUAUCUUACAGUGAACUAGAUGCUAUCUUUGAAUGCUUUUAGACUACAACCUGGUAGUUUUAGUUUUUGGACUCGAACAUGAUGGUCAUAAUGUUAGGUCACUUUUAGAUGAUAACUUAGCUAGAUUAUGCAUUUAGCUACUAUAUAUAUGCAUGCUUGUAUGUUGGCUUUAUGUCAAGAAGCUUAAGUUAGUGACAUGAUUAUAUAUGUACUCAUUUGAUAUGGAUGAAUGAGAGUAUGAUUGAUCUGCCAAUUUGUGUAUGUCAUUCAAUAUUGUAUUGGUUCUGAACGUGGGUUGUAAAUAUAUGUGGAUUAUUUUUUUUACCUAUUUAAUUG
rnacentral:lncRNA from 1 species